rnacentral:rRNA from 1 species
AGGGCUUGACAUGUGAGGAAUCUGCCAGAAACGGUGGAGUGCUCGCAAGAGAGCCUCAACAC